rnacentral:rRNA from 1 species
UGAGUAACACGUAUCCAACCUGCCGUCUACUCUUGGACAGCCUUCUGAAAGGAAGAUUAAUACAAGAUGGCAUCAUGAGUCCGCAUGUUCACAUGAUUAAAGAUAUUCCGGUAGACGAUGGGGAUGCGUUCCAUUAGAUAGUAGGCGGGGUAACGGGCCCACCUAGUCUUCGAUGGAUAGGGGUUCUGAGAGGAAGGUCCCCCACAUUGGAACUGAGACACGGUCCAAACUCCUACGGGAGGCAGCAUG